rnacentral:tRNA from 1 species
GGGGUUGUAGCUCAAUGGUAGAGAACUUGCCUAGCAUGUGGGAGGCACUGGGUUCAAUUCUCAGCACCUCA